rnacentral:sRNA from 1 species
UUGUAUAGAACCAGAUGGUCCUUUCGA